rnacentral:rRNA from 1 species
UACGUAGGUGGCAAGCGUUGUCCGGAUUUAUUGGGUUUAAAGGGUGCGUAGGCGGUUCUAUAAGUCAGUGGUGAAAUCCGGCAGCUCAACUGUCGAUGUGCCAUUGAUACUGCAGAACUUGAGUACAGACGAGGUAGGCGGAAUUGACGGUGUAGCGGUGAAAUGCUUAGAUAUCGUCAAGAACACCGAUAGCGAAAGGCAGCUUACUAGACUGUAACUGACGCUGAUGCACGAAAAGUGUGGGGGAUCAAAACAGG